rnacentral:rRNA from 1 species
UACGUAGGAGGCAAGCGUUGUCCGGAAUCACUGGGUGUAAAGCGCGUGUAGGUGGAUGGGUGCGUCUGCUGUGAAAGCCCCUGGCUUAACUGGGGGAGGUCGGUGGAAACGGCUCGUCUGGAGGGUAGUAGAGGGGGGUAGAAUUCCCGGUGUAGUGGUGAAAUGCGUAGAGAUCGGGAGGAAUACCUGUGGCGAAGGCGGCCCCCUGGGCUAUACCUGACGCUGAGACGCGAAAGCACGGGGAGCGAACGGG